UCUCAGGUAGUAUAGAGGUUAGUAUUCGCGCCUGUCAAUAACCGCGAACGCGCGAGACCGGGGUUCGAUUCCCCGCCUGAGAG